UACGUAGGGUGCAAGCGUUAUCCGGAAUUAUUGGGCGUAAAGAGCUCGUAGGCGGUUUGUCGCGUCUGCUGUGAAAACUGGAGGCUCAACCUCCAGCCUGCAGUGGGUACGGGCAGACUAGAGUGCGGUAGGGGAGAUUGGAAUUCCUGGUGUAGCGGUGGAAUGCGCAGAUAUCAGGAGGAACACCGAUGGCGAAGGCAGAUCUCUGGGCCGUAACUGACGCUGAGGAGCGAAAGCAUGGGAGCGAACAGG
rnacentral:rRNA from 1 species